GACAGAGGUGCCGAGCGUUAGGCGGAAUCACUGGGCUUAAAGCGUGUGUAGGCGGAUCGUUAAGUAUCUUGUGAAAUCCCACGGCUCAACCGUGGAACUGCUGGAUAUACUGGCGAUCUUGGGCCACCUAGGGGCAGAUGGAACAAGUGGUGGAGCGGUGAAAAUGCGUAGAUAUCACUUGGAACGCCAAUGGUGAAAACAGUCUGCUGGGGGUGUGCCGACGCUGAGACACGAAAGCCAGGGGAGCGAACGGG
rnacentral:rRNA from 1 species